rnacentral:rRNA from 1 species
GACAGAGGUGCCGAGCGUUAGGCGGAAUCACUGGGCUUAAAGCGUGUGUAGGCGGACUUCUAAGUACCUUGUGAAAUCCCACGGCUCAACCGUGGAACUGCUUGGUAUACUGGUUGUCUUGAGCCACUUAGGGGCAGUCGGAACAGACGGUGGAGCGGUGAAAUGCGUAGAUAUCUGGAGGAACACCGGUGGCGAAGGCGGCAUCCUGGACCAAUUCUGACGCUGAGGAGCGAAAGCCAGGGGAGCAAACGGG